rnacentral:lncRNA from 1 species
GAGACACUGGAACCUCAGGUCUAUAAAAACUGGAGGGGCAGUGAAGGCCUAUUAUUCACAGCACAUAAGAUUCUAGGAGACAGAUUUGGGCAGGGAAGAGGUCAGGGGAGUGGGUUAAUGCAUUCUGGAAAAGGGGAUUACUUGAUUACUGUCCCCCAAGUCCCCACAGCCCUGGGGUCCAUGCAGAGACCACAGUGCAA